rnacentral:rRNA from 1 species
GAUCCUGGCUCAGAUUGAACGCUGGCGGAAUGCUUUACACAUGCAAGUCGAGCGGCAGCGCGGGGGCAACCCUGGCGGCGAGCGGCGAACGGGUGAGUAACAUAUCGGAACGUACCCAGUCGUGGGGGAUAACUAUCCGAAAGGAUAGCUAAUACCGCAUACGUCCUGAGGGAGAAAGCGGGGGAUCGCAAGACCUCGCGCGAUUGGAGCGGCCGAUAUCGGAUUAGCUAGUUGGUGGGGUAAAGGCUCACCAAGGCGACGAUCCGUAGCGGGUCUGAGAGGACGACCCGCCACACUGGAACUGAGACACGGUCCAGACUCCUACGGGAGGCAGCAGUGGGGAAUUUUGGACAAUGGGCGCAAGCCUGAUCCAGCAAUGCCGCGUGAGUGAAGAAGGCCUUCGGGUUGUAAAGCUCUUUCAGUCGAGAAGAAAAGGCUGCAGUGAAUAACUGUAGUUUAUGACGGUAUCGACAGAAGAAGCACCGGCUAACUACGUG